rnacentral:rRNA from 1 species
CCUACGGGAGGCAGCAGUGGGGAAUAUUGCACAAUGGGGGAGACCCUGAUGCAGCGACGCCGCGUGAGUGAAGAAGGAUUUCGGUAUGUAAAGCCCUAUCAGCAGGGAAGAAAUAGCGACCGUUGGGUCGCCAGACGGUACCUGAUUAAGAAGCCCCGGCUAACUACGUGCCACCAGCCGCGGUAAUACGUAGGGGGCAAGCGUUAUCCGGAUUUACUGGGUGUAAAGGGAUCGUAGACGGCAGCGCAAGUCUGAAGUGAAAUGCCGGGGCUUAACCCCGGAACUGCUCUUGAAACUGGGGAGCUAGAGUGCAAGAGAGGUAAGUGGAAUUCCUAGUGUAGCGGUGAAAUGCGUAGAUAUUAGGAGGAACACCAGUAGCGAAGGCGGCUUACUGGACUGUAACUGACGUUGAGGCUCGAAAGCGUGGGGAGCAAACAGGAUUAGAUACCCUGGUAGUC